UGAAGAGUAGAAAAAGAGGCUUGUGAAGGAGAAAAAGCCAGGGAAGACUAUCGACAGAGUCAAUACACAAGAUGUUGGGUGUAUCUUCUCUAUUUCUCCUUCUGCUUUCAACUUUAUCAGAAGUUGGGUUUUCCCAAAAUACCCUUAAGCUUAGCAGAGAUGACUUCCCACCAGGCUUUCUUUUCGGUGCUGGAACCUCAGCUUUUCAGGUUGAAGGUGCAGUAGCUGAGGAUGGAAGGACUCCGAGUGUUUGGGACACUUUCACUCACGAAGGGAAAAUGGUGGACAAUAGCACAGCAGACGUAGCUGCAGAUCAAUACCACAAAUAUAAGGAAGAUGUGAAGCUGAUGAGUGAGAUGGGCCUUGAUGUCUACAGAUUUUCCAUAUCUUGGUCAAGGCUCCUCCCACUUGGAAGAGGAGCCGUUAAUCCUAAAGGUGUCCAGUACUACAACAAUCUCAUCAAUGAGCUGGUCAACCAUGGAAUUCAACCACAUAUUACCAUCUACCAUGAGGAUCUCCCUCAAAUACUUCAAGAUGAAUAUGGAGGAUGGCUAAGCCCAAAGAUAGUGGAGGAUUUUACAGCCUAUACAGAUGCAUGCUUUAGGGAAUUUGGUGAUAGGGUGGCCCACUGGACCACCCUAAAUGAACCCAAUGUCGCAGCCCUUGGAGCUUACGACAGUGGGACCUUUCCACCUGGGCGAUGCUCCUAUCCAUUUGGCGUGAAAUGCACAGUUGGCAACUCCUCUGUGGAGCCGUACAUAGUAGUCCACCAUUACUUGCUGGCACAUGCAUCAGCUGCAGCUUUGUAUAGAGAAAAAUACCAAGCCAAGCAAAGGGGUUCCAUAGGGAUAAAUGUAUGGGCUUUAUGGUGUAUCCCUUUUACCAACUCCACAGCAGACGUUAAAGCAACCAAAAGAGCCCUCGAUUUCUAUAAUGGGUGGAUCAUCAACCCGUUGGUGUUUGGAGACUAUCCUGAGAUCAUGAAGAAGAAUGCAGGGUCAAGGAUCCCAUCUUUCACCAAAUCCGAAUCAGAACGGUUGAAGGGCUCUAUCGACUUCCUUGGAGUGAACCAUUAUAUAACCAACUACGUAGAGGAUGACUCUAAUGGCGCGAAGAACAACCUUCGAGACUUCAAUGCAGACAUGUUUGCCAAAUUUCGAACUUCAAAAGAUGAUGCACCGACAAGCAAGGUUGGGCCAACGGACCGGUUGGUCGUUCCAUCCAGCAUGCAAAGCUUGCUAGAAUACUUUAAAAAUGAGUACGACGAUCUUCCAAUCUAUAUCCAAGAGAAUGGUUUUGGUGGGACGCCCAAUGAGUCACUCAAUGACACGGCUAGGGUGGAGUACAUAAGUGCAUACCUUAAUGCAACACUAGGAGCGAUUAGGAACGGAUCAAACACCAAAGGAUACUUUGUGUGGUCAUUCGUAGAUGUUUUCGAAAUCUUGAACGGAUAUAUGCAGAGGUUUGGGCUUUUUCAUGUGGAUUUUGAAGACAAGGCCCGAACAAGACAGCCCAAAUUCUCAGCCUAUUGGUACGCGGAUUUGCUCAAGAAAAGCAAGGAAAUGAAGAUAGUCAUGGCCACCCAGCAAGGAAUGGUCACCCAGUAGUUCUUGGGUUUUUAAGGAUUGCUUUGAUACUCUAGUAGAGUGUGAUGGAUGAUACACGAGCACUUGGAGAUUGUAUAUGUGGCAUGCAGGAAUAGGCUCUCGUCAAGGAGCAUGAGGAGGGGAUCUCUAGCCAUUUCUAUUUUUGUUUAGUUUUCUUUGAGGUUUCAAAAUUAUUGUAAUAGGACUUAUUGUGAAAGAGUGAUAAGACUUUAGAUUAUAAUGAUAUUGAUUGAGAUAUUUUAUUUUA